rnacentral:rRNA from 1 species
GAUGAACGCUGGCGGCGUGCUUAACACAUGCAAGUCGAACGGGAAACCUUUUAUUGCUGCUUCUGCAGAUUUAGCUGGUUUCUAGUGGCGGACGGGUGAGUAACGCCUGGGUAAUCUGCCUUAUUCAGGGGGAUAACAACCAGAUAUGGUUGCUAAUACCGUAUAAGUGCACAGGACCGCACGGUCCGGUGUGCACUACUCCGUUGGUCUAUGAUGGACCCGCGUGGGAUUAGCUAGUUGGCAGGGUAACGGCCUACCAAGGCGACGAUCCAUAGCCGGCAUGAGAGAGUGAACCGCGACAUUGGGACUGAGACACGGCCCAGACUCCUACGGGAGGCAGCAGUGGGGAAUACUGCAAAAUGGGGGAAGCCCUGAUGCAGCUACGCCGCGUGAAGGAAGAAGUAGCUAGGUAUGUAAACUUCUAUAAGCAGGGAAGAUAGUGACGGUACCUGAAGAAGAAGCCCCGGCUAACUACGUG